rnacentral:rRNA from 1 species
CGAGCGGACGAUGGGAGCUUGCUCCCUGAGUCAGCGGCGGACGGGUGAGUAACACGUGGGCAACCUGCCUGUAAGACUGGGAUAACUCCGGGAAACCGGGGCUAAUACCGGAUGAUUCUUUCCCUCACAUGAGGGAAAGCUGAAAGAUGGUUUCGGCUAUCACUUACAGAUGGGCCCGCGGCGCAUUAGCUAGUUGGUGAGGUAACGGCUCACCAAGGCGACGAUGCGUAGCCGACCUGAGAGGGUGAUCGGCCACACUGGGACUGAGACACGGCCCAGACUCCUACGGGAGGCAGCAGUAGGGAAUCUUCCGCAAUGGACGAAAGUCUGACGGAGCAACGCCGCGUGAGUGAUGAAGGUUUUCGGAUCGUAAAACUCUGUUGUUAGGGAAGAACAAGUACCGGAGUAACUGCCGGUACCUUGACGGUACCUAACCAGAAAGCCACGGCUAACUACGUGCCAACAUCCGCGGUAAUACGUAGGUGGCAAGCGUUGUCCGGAAUUAUUGGGCGUAAAGCGCGCGCACGCGGUUCCUUAAGUCUGAUGUGAAAGCCCCCGGCUCAACCGGGGAGGGUCAUUGCAAACUGGGGAACUUGAGUGCAGAAGAGACCAGUGGUAUUUCCGCCGUGUAGCGGUUAAAUGACUAAAGAUGUGCCUUCACCCCAGGGGUUACUGCACUCUUUGCGCUGUACUCGACUCUGAGGGAAAUACCCGUCGUCACUCUGCGUCUAGAUACCCUGGUUACUACUGACCCUCACGAUGAUGCUGGUGCUUUCACAUUUAC